UAAUGUAAUGCCUACAUUGUUAAUGCAUUGGAUCCCAUUAGAACUCCGUUGUUAAGAAUGCUUGUGCUAGAGUAGUACUAGGAUGGGUGAUCUCGUGGGAAGUUGAUUCGAAAAUUCUUUAG
rnacentral:rRNA from 1 species